rnacentral:rRNA from 1 species
CCUACGGGUGGCUGCAGUGAGGAAUAUUGGUCAAUGGGAGAGAUCCUGAACCAGCCAAGCCGCGUGAGGGAAGACGGCCCUAUGGGUUGUAAACCUCUUUUGUCGGAGAACAAAACCCGGGACGUGUCCCGGACUGCGUGUAUCCGAAGAAAAAGCAUCGGCUAACUCCGUGCCAGCACCCGCGGUAAUACGGAGGAUGCGAGCGUUAUCCGGAUGGAUUGGGUUUAAAGGGUGCGUAGGCGGUCCGUUAAGUCAGAGGUAAAAUUGCGGGGCUUAACCCCGGCGAGCCGUUGAAACUGGCAGGCUUGAGUUGGCGAGAGGUACGCGGAAUGCGCGGUGUAGCGGUGAAAUGCGUAGAUAUCGCGCAGAACACCGAUGGCGAAGGCAGCGUACCGGCGCCAGACUGACGCUGAGGCACGAAAGCGUGGGGAGCGAACAGGAUUAGAUACCCUAGUAGUC